GCUCAUCAAUCUAGCUUGCAUUGCCAUGUGAGCGUCGCCCAUCUCACCAUCAAGCUCACUUUUAGGCACAAGGGCAGCUACACUGUCAACAACCACAACAUCCACAGAACCACUCCUUAUAAGCAUGUCCACCAGGCUGAGAGCCUGUUCGCCACAGUCAGGUUGUGAUAGAAGCAAGUUUUCAGUGUUUACUCCAAUGGCCUGAGCCAAUGA
rnacentral:misc_RNA from 1 species